AUGAACGCUGGCGGCGUGCCUAAUACAUGCAAGUCGCGCGCACAGACGAGGAGCUUGCUCCUCUGACGUUCGCGGCGGACGGGUGAGUAACACGUGGAUAACCUACCUAUAAGCCUGGGAUAACUUCGGGAAACCGGAGCUAAUACCGGAUAAUAUAUUGAACCGCAUGGUUCAAUAGUGAAAGACGGUUUUGCUGUCACUUAUAGAUGGAUCCGCGCCGCAUUAGCUAGUUGGUAAGGUAACGGCUUACCAAGGCAACGAUGCGUAGCCGACCUGAGAGGGUGAUCGGCCACACUGGAACUGAGACACGGUCCAGACUCCUACGGGAGGCAGCAGUAGGGAAUCUUCCGCAAUGGGCGAAAGCCUGACGGAGCAACGCCGCGUGAGUGAUGAAGGUCUUCGGAUCGUAAAACUCUGUUAUUAGGGAAGAACAAAUGUGUAAGUAACUAUGCACGUCUUGACGGUACCUAAUCAGAAAGCCACGGCUAACUACGUG
rnacentral:rRNA from 1 species